CCUGCCCAGUAACUGCAGUAGCAGUUUGUUUGUUACACAGCUAUGCCUGAUAACUGCUUAAAAAGUAUCAACAAAGUGGAGUGAAAACUGGAUAAAACAAAAAAGUGGACAAAUAUGGAGUCCCAAACCGCGGAGCACGGCGAGAUCAUGUUCUGAGCUUGUUUACCUUCGCCUGGCGCACGCUUGGAUGAAACGUCCGCAGUGACAGAUGGCUUGUUUGGUGUCCCACAUGCAGCCAAAUAAACAGCGCAGCGGGGAGGAAUAAACGCUCUCGUCCAGUU